UUAGGUCAAGCUACUAAGGGCGUACGGUGGAUGCCUAGGCGCUAAGAGUCGAAGAAGGGCGCGGUUAACAGCGAAAUGCCACGGGGAGCAGUAAGCAUGCAUUGAUCCGUGGAUACCCGAAUGGGGCAACCCCAUUGGAGUUAUAUCCAAUGAUCUUUAACUGAAUAGAUAGGUUAAAGAGGACAACCCGGGGAACUGAAACAUCUAAGUACCCGGAGGAAGAGAAAGAAUAAUCGAUUCCCUGAGUAGCGGCGAGCGAAACGGGAAGAGCCCAAACCAAGCUCUUCGGAGCUUGGGGUUGUAGGACCCUCUAUUAAGCAUUAAUUCUUAGCUGAAGAAAUCUGGAAAGAUUCAGCAAAGAAGGUAACACUCCUGUAAGCGAAAAGAAGAAAUGCUGUGAGGGUAUCCUGAGUACCGCGGGACACGAGAAACCCCGUGGGAAACCGGGAGGACCACCUCCCAAGGCUAAAUACUCCUUAGCGACCGAUAGUGAACCAGUACCGUGAGGGAAAGGUGAAAAGCACCCCGGGAGGGGAGUGAAAAAGAACCUGAAACCGUACGCUUACAAGCAGUCAAAGCACCCUUGAGGUGUGAUGGCGUGCCUUUUGUAGAAUGAACCGGCGAGUUACGGUAUGUAGCGAGGUUAAAGCGAGAAGCUGGAGCCGAAGCGAAAGCGAGUCUGAAAAGGGCGACAAGUUACAUGCUGUAGACCCGAAACCGUGUGAUCUACCCAUGGUCAGGGUGAAGGUGGGGUAAAACCUACUGGAGGCCCGAACUCACUGUCGUUGAAAAGGCAAGGGAUGAACUGUGGGUAGGGGUGAAAUGCCAAUCGAACACGGAGAUAGCUGGUUCUCCCCGAAAUAGCUUUAGGGCUAGCCUCAAUUGAUGAUUCUUGGCGGUAAAGCACUGAAUAGGCUAGGGGCCUUACCGGGUUACCGAACCUUAUCAAACUCUGAAUGCCAAGAAUUUAGAUUGGGAGUCAGACUGUGGGGGAUAAGCUUCAUAGUCAAAAGGGAAACAGCCCAGACCAUCAGCUAAGGUCCCAAAGUAUACGCUAAGUGGAAAAGGAUGUGGAAUUGCACAGACAACCAGGAUGUUGGCUCAGAAGCAGCCACCAUUUAAAGAGUGCGUAAUAGCUCACUGGUCGAGUGGUUCUGCGCCGAAAAUGUAACGGGGCUCAAGCGUAUCACCGAAGCUAUGGCUUUACAGUUUACUGUAAGGGGUAGGGGAGCGUUCCAAGGUCAGCGAAGUUCAACUGGAAGGUUGGGUGGAGAGCUUGGAAGUGAGAAUGCCGGUAUGAGUAUGCGAAAAGGUGAGUGAGAAUCUCACCCGCCGAAAAUCUAAGGUUUCCUGGGGAAGGCUCGUCCGCCCAGGGUCAGUCGGGACCUAAGCCGAGGCCGAAAGGCGUAGGUGAUGGACAACUGGUGGAUAUUCCAGUACCUCUCUUAAACGUUAUUAGCGAUGGGGUGACACAGAAGGAUAGGUUAAGCGUGCCGUUGGUUGAGCACGCCCAAGCCCGUAGGGUGUGAGGCAGGUAAAUCCGUCUUACGCGUUGCCUGAAAGGUAAUGGGGAGCGAAAAUAAGUAGCGAAGUAACCGACUCCAAGCUGUCAAGAAAAGCCUCUAGUGAGUGAGAGAGAGCCCGUACCGCAAACCGACACAGGUAGAUAAGGAGAGAAUCCUAAGGCGCGCGAGAAAACCCUCGUUAAGGAACUCGGCAAAAUAGCCCCGUAACUUCGGGAGAAGGGGCGCUCUUCGCAAGAAGAGCCGCAGAGAAAUGGUCCAGGCGACUGUUUAACAAAAACACAGGUUCCUGCCAAUCUGAAAAGAGAAGUAUAGGAGCUGACGCCUGCCCGGUGCUGGAAGGUUAAGAGGAGAGGUUAGCCGCAAGGCGAAGCUUUGAAUUGAAGCCCCAGUAAACGGCGGCCGUAACUAUAACGGUCCUAAGGUAGCGAAAUUCCUUGUCAGGUAAGUUCUGACCCGCACGAAAGGCGUAACGAUCUGGACACUGUCUCAACGAGGGACUCGGCGAAAUUGUAAUACCCGUGAAGAUGCGGGUUACCUGCGACAGGACAGAAAGACCCCAUGGAGCUUUACUGUAGCUUGACAUUGGAUUUUGGUAUAAAAUGUACAGGAUAGGUGGGAGACUAAGAAGCUAGGGCGCCAGCCUUGGUGGAGUCGCCGGUGGGAUACCACUCUUUUUGUACUGAAAUUCUAACUUAGACCCCUGAAUCGGGGUUGAGGACCGUGUCAGGUGGGCAGUUUGACUGGGGCGGUCGCCUCCUAAAGAGUAACGGAGGCGCCCAAAGGUUCCCUCAGCGCGGAUGGAAAUCGCGCGAAGAGUGUAAAGGCAAAAGGGAGCUUGACUGCGAGACCAACAAGUCGAGCAGGGACGAAAGUCGGGCUUAGUGAUCCGGUGGUACCGAGUGGAAGGGCCAUCGCUCAACGGAUAAAAGCUACCCUGGGGAUAACAGGCUUAUCUCCCCCAAGAGUCCAUAUCGACGGGGAGGUUUGGCACCUCGAUGUCGGCUCAUCGCAUCCUGGGGCUGUAGUAGGUCCCAAGGGUUGGGCUGUUCGCCCAUUAAAGCGGUACGUGAGCUGGGUUCAGAACGUCGUGAGACAGUUCGGUCCCUAUCCGUCGCAGGCGCAGGAAAUUUGAGGGGAGCUGACCCUAGUACGAGAGGACCGGGUUGGACGGAUCACUGGUGUACCAGUUGUCUCGCCAGAGGCAUAGCUGGGUAGCUAUAUCCGGAUCGGAUAAGCGCUGAAAGCAUCUAAGCGCGAAACCGACCUCAAGAUGAGAUUUCCCACAGCACAAGCUGGUAAGACCCCUGAAAGAUGAUCAGGUAGAUAGGCCCAAUGUGGAAGCGCGGUGACGUGUGGAGCUGACGGGUACUAAUCGGUCGAGGGCUUGACCUAA
rnacentral:rRNA from 1 species